GGCACGUUAAUAUAAUGGUAGUAUAGAGGUCUUCCAAACCUCCAGCCGGGGUUCGAUUCCCCGACGUGUCA
rnacentral:tRNA from 2 species